rnacentral:misc_RNA from 1 species
AGUUAAACAGUACGUGAAAUUGUUGAAAGGGAAACGAUUAAAGUCAGUCGUACCUACGAGUAAUCAACCUACUCGAGUGCGAUUUUGUGGGUAUGUUAGAGCUUAAAAACCUUCAUGCUUACAAAUUGGUGCUCUUUGGGCGUACUUUCUCGUAUGGUAGGUUAACAUCAAUUUCGAUCGUUAUAAAAUGACUGGAGGAAUGUAGCUUCGAUCUCGGUUGAAGUGUUAUAGCCUUUGGUAGAUGUAAUGAUUGGGAUUGAGGAUUGCAACGGAUACCCUCUGGGCUAUUCGUCUGAUCUCUGGAAGUUACCUUGGUGUCGAAAGCGUGCUUACGAUAUUAAGGUUGACGGCCAAUAGGUUAGAACGUGAUUAAAUUCGUUAAGGAUGUUGACGUAAUGGCUUUAAA